GUAGGUGAACCUGCGGAAGGAUCAUUAUCGAAUGAAUGUAGAGUCGGUUGUCGCUGGUCCCUUCGGGGGCAUGUGCACGCCUUCUCUUUCAUCCACACACACACCUGUGCACUCGUGAGACGGAAGCCCUCGGGAGUCCGUCUGCUCUACAUAAACUCAUAUAUAUAAUUUGAAUGUAAUCGAUGUAACACAUCUUUAAACUAAGUUUCAACAACGGAUCUCUUGGCUCUCGCAUCGAUGAAGAACGCAG
rnacentral:misc_RNA from 1 species